AUUGAACGCUGGCGGCAGGCUUAACACAUGCAAGUCGAGCGGGGUGAUGGUGCUUGCACUAUCACUUAGCGGCGGACGGGUGAGUAAUGCUUAGGAAUCUGCCUAUUAGUGGGGGACAACAUCUCGAAAGGGAUGCUAAUACCGCAUACGUCCUACGGGAGAAAGCAGGGGAUCACUUGUGACCUUGCGCUAAUAGAUGAGCCUAGGUCGGAUUAGCUAGUUGGCGGGGUAAAGGCCUACCAAGGCGACGAUCUGUAGCGGGUCUGAGAGGAUGAUCCGCCACACUGGGACUGAGACACGGCCCAGACUCCUACGGGAGGCAGCAGUGGGGAAUAUUGGACAAUGGGGGGAACCCUGAUCCAGCCAUGCCGCGUGUGUGAAGAAGGCCUUAUGGUUGUAAAGCACUUUAAGCGAGGAGGAGGCUCUUUUGGUCAAUACCCAAGAUGAGUGGACGUUACUCGCAGAAUAAGCACCGGCUAACUCUGUGCCAGCCGCCGCGGUAA
rnacentral:rRNA from 1 species